rnacentral:rRNA from 1 species
GAUAAACGCUGGCGGCAUGCCUAAUACAUGCAAGUCGAACGGAGAUAUUAGAGCUUGCUUUGAUAUCUUAGUGGCGAACGGGUGAGUAACACGUAGUUAACCUACCCAUUGGACUGGGACAACUUUUGGAAACGAAAGCUAAUACCGGAUAGGAAGAAAUUUUAAAGGAGCACUAGCUUCACCAAUGGAAGGGACUGCGUCUGAUUAGCUAGUUGGUAGGGUAAGAGCGUACCAAGGCGACGAUCGGUAGCCGGACUGAGAGGUUGACCGGCCACACUGGGACUGAGACACGGCCCAGACUCCUACGGGAGGCAGCAGUAGGGAAUCUUGCACAAUGAGCGCAAGCUUGAUGCAGCAAUGCCGCGUGAGUGAAGAAGUUUUUCGGAAUGUAAAACUCUGUUAUAUGGGAGGAAAAGAUUAAAGAGGAAAUGCUUUAAUCCGUGACGGUACCAUAUCAGCAAGGGACGGCUAACUACGUGCCAGCAGCCGCGGUAAUACGUAGGUCCCGAGCGUUAUCCGGAAUUAUUGGGCGUAAAGGGUACGCAGGUGGUUAUGAAAGUCUGGUGUGAAAUUUUAGGGCUCAACCCUAAAAGGUCAUUGGAAACUGCAUGACUCGAGAGCAGGAGAGGUAAGUGGAAUUCCUAGUGUAGCGGUGAAAUGCGUAGAUAUUAGGAGGAACACCAGUGGCGAAGGCGGCUUACUGGACUGCGUCUGACACUGAGGUACGAAAGCGUGG